GGUGCAUUAAAUGUCUGGCUCUGUGUCAUAAGGCUGCGAGUCUCACAGAAGACACAAGUAGAACAAGGGGUUCCCAAUAAGUCAGCGGAUCGCCUGCCUUUGGAAAAAAACAAUCACGUCGGUUGACCGAAAAAACGUUCUGAAGCGACCCUGUCUGACUCCAAUCAGCGCUGGUCAUCGAGGAAGGUCUCAUUUACCCAUGAUCCCACACUCCGGCGGCUUCGUGUUUUUUGAUGUCCAGAGGGGCCGAGUCCGAUUUAUCAUGUUUUAAGAUGACGCCUCCCAUUCAUCACCGACGGACACUCUGCUGCUUCAUUAGCCAAUAUCAGACUAUCACACCAACACCUGAAUACCAUAAUGGGAAGGAGAAAGAAGAAGAAGAAGAGAUUCACAUGUAGAGAAAGAUGA
ensembl:lncRNA